rnacentral:rRNA from 1 species
UACGUAGGAUGCAAGCGUUGUCCGGAAUUACUGGGCGUAAAGGGCGAGUAGGCGGCCCCGCAAGUCAGAUGUGAAAUAGCCCGGCUUAACCGGGAGGGGUCAUUUGAAACUGCGGAGCUAGAGUGCAGGAGAGGCUAGCGGAAUUCCCGGUGUAGUGGUGAAAUGCGUAGAUAUCUGGAGGAACACCGGUGGCGAAGGCGGCGUUCUGGACUGCAACUGACACUGAGGAACGAAAGCCAGGGGAGCAAACGGG